CUGGUCUGGGAUGAUGGCUCUGGGUCUUUUUAUAUGUCUACAUGACAAAAGUGACUGCACUGGAGAUCUGAAUUCUCAACAAGUCUCGGUUUGGUCCCAGCCUUUGUUCUCCUGCUGGAAUACUCGGCACAGUAGUGAUUCCCUUGAUGAAAAUAACCCAAAUGUAAUGAGGAAAC